rnacentral:sRNA from 1 species
CGGGACAUCAAGUCCUUC